UACGUAGGGGGCGAGCGUUGUCCGAAGUUAUUGGGCCUAAAGCAUCCGUAGCCGGUUCUACAAGUCUUCCGUUAAAUCCAACUGCUUAACAGGUGGGCUGCGGAAGAUACUAUAGAGCUAGGAGGCGGGAGAGGCAAGCGGUACUCGAUGGGUAGGGGUAAAAUCCGUUGAUCCAUUGAAGACCACCAGUGGCGAAGGCGGCUUGCCAGAACGCGCUCGACGGUGAGGGAUGAAAGCUGGGGGAGCAAACCGG
rnacentral:rRNA from 1 species